UACGUAGGGGGCAAGCGUUAUCCGGAUUUACUGGGUGUAAAGGGGGCGCAGACGGCGAUGCAAGCCAGGAGUGAAAGCCCGGGGCCCAACCCCGGGACUGCUCUUGGAACUGCGUGGCUGGAGUGCAGGAGGGGCAGGCGGAAUUCCUAGUGUAGCGGUGAAAUGCGUAGAUAUUAGGAGGAACACCAGUGGCGAAGGCGGCCUGCUGGACGGUGACUGACGCUGAGGCUCGAAAGCGUGGGGAGCAAACAGG
rnacentral:rRNA from 1 species